AGGGCACAAGCCCAAGUAAACAAAAUGCAAAAAUAUCAAGGAAAGAAAUAUUCUAAAGAAAUGUCUAGAAUGACCGAUACUAAAGGAGAGAUGUUUGAAGCCUCUGCUGCUGCAAGUCAGCUCCAGCUCCGGUGAUGCAACAACAACCAAGAACUUACCAAGAACAAUUGUGCUGAAGCUAAAAUCAGGAAGUUUGGUUGAUAUUCACCUUAGCAUUUCACAUGUCUCACCAAUGCCAUGAAUUUAGAACCUUUGAAGACUUCUUCAGCUCCCAAAUUGACUUUGUCCAAUGCUAUUCCAGUUAUACCUUCCUCUAAACCAUACAGGCCAUGAAAUAAAAGACUUAUGUUGACCUUUUCCUUGAUUUAUGCACAUUUAUCUCCAUAGAGCUAAUAACACUGCAUUAACUCUUGGCUAAGGUCAACACCAGCCUCUGAAAACAACAAUCAACAGAACCCCCCAAGCAUUAAAAUUGAUGGGGUUGUGGCUCACAUUCCUCCUACACGUGGCUAGUAGAUUUCCCAUCCAGUGAAGUUUUGGUGAGUCCUAAUCUAUCGAGGGACAUAGUGCUACUACAAGAUUUGGACCUGCAAUUUGAACAGGGAUUUGAUAUUCUGCUACUGCAAGUUCCUGCAUGAGUACUAUAAUCAGCUGUUGAUUCUCUUCAUCUCUAUCUUUCAUUACUAGUUGUGCAUUCUCCUCUUUGUGGUACAACAUAUCCUCCCCUAUUUCCCCAUUGUGUUAUAUUAUAUCUUUAUUAGUGCUUGUUGUAUCUGUAAUAUUGGUAUCACUGUUUUAUGCCCCUCUUAUUUCUUCAUGAUGAUUAACAAAUGCAUGCUUUAUCUAUUCUUUGGUAGAUGAAUACUGAUGACCAUUUUUUAUUAUGUCAUGUUCCCUUUCCUCAUUAGACUCAUUGUUAACAUCAGUAAGCUUCUCUGAUUUCUCCUCUCCAUUUUCAGGCAAAGCAGCAAAAGUAUUAGUUGUAGUAAUACUUUGUUCAGAUUUGUUAACUUCUCUACUAGCUGGAUCAUGAUUAAAAUUUUUGACUCUCUUCCAGCUGAUGGGAUUCCAAUAGCUUCUAACUAUUCUUCUUCUUCUUCUUGUCUCUUCCUUGCAUAAUGUUUUAACAUUUACUUCAUAUUAUAUUCAGUUAUGUCCAGACAUAUGCUUGACAUGUAUUUAAAGUAUUUACAUGCUGAUCUUUUAAAGUUUUUGCAUUUUAGUUUAGUCUUCCUCUUAGUAGUCAACCAGACAAAAGAUUCGCUUGGAAUCAGUAAUAAUUUUCGAAUGCCGACCAUGUCUAGGGUGUAGACUUGGGGAGUGACAUUCUCAUUCAACCCAGUCUAUUUAAAAUAUUUUUCAUUAUUUUUUUAAGUGUAAAAUAAUAUGAAUUUUGAUCAAAAUUUAUUUCUCAACAUAUUGAUAUAAAUAAAAUUGUAAUUUAUUUAGUCUUUCUAUAACUUUUAAAUAUUUAAACUAAAAUUUUAAAAUAUUAGAUUAAUUUACUUUAAAAAUUAUUUAAAUUGAUUCUUGAGAUGGAAAAUAUGACAAACUAUUUCAAUAGAGAGGGAGUAGCACAAGUAUGUACAAUUCUUUCAUACGGAGAUUGAGAUAUCCCUCAAAGUGAAGAAAAACCAUGAUUUUGUAACUACGGAUGCAUCGGUAUGCCGUCGAUAAACUCAUUGAAUCCUAGCAAAGCCUUAAUGAAUACACAUUUCUUCGACCUCAAACCCUCACUCUCUGCACCAGUUUUGGAAGCCUUAAACAAUUUUGGCUUCGAGUUUCGUACUCCUAUUCAGGCCGCCACUAUACCCUUAUUCUAUAUAUACAAGAUGUCAUUGUUGAUAUCAUUACUGGCUCUCAUAAAAUACUAGCCUUUAUCUUACCUCUAGUUGAGAUACUCCGUCGCUCUUCCUCUAAUCCCACACCUCGCAAGUCUCGUUGGUGCCCUUGUAGGUAAUGGGUAUAAUUAUAUCACCCACCCAGGAGUUAUCAUCACAAAUAUUUCACGUUGCUCAACCAUUCAUUUCCACAUUAGCAAAUGUCAGGCCUAUGCUUCUUGUUGGGGGACUAGAAUUAAAGGAAGAUAUCAGAAAGAUAGAGGAGUAAGGAGAAAUAUUUUUGACCGAGACACCUGGGAUGCUAUAUGACAUAAUGAAGCGCAUGGAUAUACUGGAUUUUUGGAUCUUGAGGUUUCUACUUUCAUGCUUCAUUUAGUGGAAAAUAAAGAGGUUUGUGCUCAAGUGAUACAGGGAUUUUUAAGUUGUUAACUAUUUGUUUAUUUUUAAAUAUAAACUUUGCUUGCAAAUUUAGGAGUAUCAGAUUCUUUUGCUCGGGUGCUGCAGUAUCUUUUUAGCUGCUAAUAUUUAUUUACUCUUAAAAUAAGGUUUGCUCGAGAAUUACAAGUGUCAAUUUUGAAAGAUGAUAUUUAUGUUUUAGUUAUGAUACUUUAAAAAAGAAAACAAAGUGACAUACGCCCUAUGUUAAAACAAUUUAGUUGUACACUUUUGUACAAGAUUUAUGUAAAGCUUUCCACUUGUGCACUGGAGAAAUGCUAAGUUCAACCUUAUAAAAAGUUUAGUUUUAUCUCCAUAGUAGAUCGUAAGUUUGUACUCAAGGUUGACCUUCAUUAUUGCCUAUAAUCACAUUCUAACCUAAGUGGUGUCUGAUUUCCUACAUUUUUUAAAGAAAAUUGUCUUUAAUUUUCUACAUGUUCCUACAAAUAAUCUAUUUGUUGUCAAUAAAUGGAACACUGAUAUUGAAUCCUCCCCCUUUCCCCAACCUUUCUUUUGCCCAUGGUGUUUGGAAUUUGAUGAUGAUAUUUGACAUACUACAUCUUAAUCUUCACUCAGCAACAACAGUAUCAUUUGUACAGAUCCUGAUAUUAGAUGAGGCUGAUAGGAUAUUAAGCAUGGUAUUCUAGAAGCAGAUAAAUUCAAUCAUUUCUCAUUUACCUAAUUUUGUAGAAUGGGUCUCUUCUCUUCUACUCAAACUAAGGUAGUUGAAGAAAUUUCAAUGGUAGGAUUGAGAAAUUAUGUCAGGGUUGAAGUUCGGACAGAAGAAAAACAGUGAAGCGGUUCUGCGUCUGGAAAUUUGACUCCAUCAAAAACUCCUUCAGGACUUCAUAUUGAGUAUAUUGAAUACGAAGCGAACAAGAAAUUAUCGCAGCUUGUACAUCUCCGAAUGAAGAACAAGUCAAAAAAACUAUAACCUAUUUCAUAACUUGUGCUUGUGUUAUUUAUUGGGGAACUGUUCUUCCACAUCUCUCUUGUCUGAAAAGUUUUUCGUUAAUCUCUUUUCAUGAAAAGAUGAAGUAGGGAGAAAGCACUAGCAUCAUUUACAUCUCUUUCCAGUGGUAUUCUUUUAUGCACAAAUAUAGCAGCAUCCGGACUUGAUAUUACAGUACGACCCUUCUUAAGAUGAUAAAAUAUUUAUACAUAGAGUAGACCGCACAGCUAGCUUGGGCCGACAAAGAAGUGUUGUUGCUUUUCUAUUGCCAAAGGAGGAGGCUUGUGUGGAGUUCUUACGUAUAAAAAAACAUAUUCUUAGAAGAGGGAGAAUGUGCCUAUGAGGCUCCCUAUAUUAUCGAUGAAGUAAGAAUUAAACCAUGCCAUCGUGCUAUAUUUAUGUUUACCCUUGCUUACUAGUGGAAAUGUUUUUAUUUCUCUAGUUUGUUUAGUUUCCACUUUUUAUAUUGAGAAAAGUGUGUGUAAGUAUUAUAAAUGCAACACAAAUUGUGCUUGAAUAUUUCCAAUAAAGUGCUCCCAGGCACAUUUACCAAUGA